rnacentral:rRNA from 1 species
UACAGAGGUCCCAAGCGUUGUUCGGAUUCACUGGGCGUAAAGCGCACGUAGGCGGCUCUUUAAGUCGGGGGUGAAAUCCUGGAGCUCAACUCCAGAACUGCCUUCGAUACUGAAGAGCUUGAGUCCGGGAGAGGUGAGUGGAACUGCGAGUGUAGAGGUGAAAUUCGUAGAUAUUCGCAAGAACACCAGUGGCGAAGGCGGCUCACUGGCCCGGUACUGACGCUGAGGAGCGAAAGCGUGGGGAGCGAACAGG